UACGUAGGGUCCGAGCGUUGUCCGGAAUUACUGGGCGUAAAGAGCUCGUAGGUGGUUUGUCGCGUUGUUCGUGAAAACUCACAGCUCAACUGUGGGCGUGCGGGCGAUACGGGCAGACUAGAGUACUGCAGGGGAGACUGGAAUUCCUGGUGUAGCGGUGGAAUGCGCAGAUAUCAGGAGGAACACCGGUGGCGAAGGCGGGUCUCUGGGCAGUAACUGACGUGAGGUGCGAAAGCGUGGGGAGCAAACAGG
rnacentral:rRNA from 1 species